rnacentral:lncRNA from 1 species
GUCCUGUAUUUGUUUCAUUGUACCAAGGAUGAAUGUCUUAGUUUUACCGAGUGAUCUCACCUUUACUGUCUUCAAGUAUUGUCCCAGGUUUUAAGAUCAUUUGUACUAAGUAUGACCAGUCAUGUAAUAAAUUAGUUUUAUAAAUUUUGUAGAAGGAUAGCAGUAGGUCUUGUAGAUUGGUCUCAUCUCCACUGUCUUCAAGUUUUGUCCCAGUUUUUAAGAUCAUUUGUACUUAGUAAACAAAUUAUAGUCUAAUAAAUUUUGUACAUGGAUAGAUGUAGGUCUACAUCUCCGCCGUUUUAUCCGUUUUCAUCUCAGUUUAGCUCGAAUUAGGUUUUUUUCAGGAGAUGAUGUAUAUAACUUUGCUAUCUCUCGUGACAUUCCACGAAACUUUUACAAUCAAAUACUUUGUAACUG